rnacentral:rRNA from 1 species
UAUACAUGCAGUCGAACGAACUUCCGUUAAUUGAUUAUGACGUACUUGUACUGAUUGAGAUUUUAACACGAAGUGAGUGGCGAACGGGUGAGUAACACGUGGGUAACCUGCCCAGAAGUAGGGGAUAACACCUGGAAACAGAUGCUAAUACCGUAUAACAGAGAAAACCGCAUGGUUUUCUUUUAAAAGAUGGCUCUGCUAUCACUUCUGGAUGGACCCGCGGCGUAUUAGCUAGUUGGUGAGGUAAAGGCUCACCAAGGCAGUGAUACGUAGCCGACCUGAGAGGGUAAUCGGCCACAUUGGGACUGAGACACGGCCCAGACUCCUACGGGAGGCAGCAGUAGGGAAUCUUCCACAAUGGACGCAAGUCUGAUGGAGCAACGCCGCGUGAGUGAAGAAGGGUUUCGGCUCGUAAAGCUCUGUUGUUAAAGAAGAACGUGGGUAAGAGUAACUGUUUACCCAGUGACGGUAUUUAACCAGAAAGCCACGGCUAACUACGUGCCAGCAGCCGCGGUAAUACGUAGGUGGCAAGCGUUAUCCGGAUUUAUUGGGCGUAAAGCGAGCGCAGGCGGUCUUUUAAGUCUAAUGUGAAAGCCUUCGGCUCAACCGAAGAAGUGCAUUGGAAACUGGGAGACUUGAGUGCAGAAGAGGACAGUGGAACUCCAUGUGUAGCGGUGAAAUGCGUAGAUAUAUGGAAGAACACCAGUGGCGAAGGCGGCUGUCUGGUCUGCAACUGACGCUGAGGCUCGAAAGCAUGGGUAGCGAACAGGAUUAGAUACCCUGGUAGUCCAUGCCGUAACGAUGAUUACUAAGUGUUGGAGGGUUUCCGCCCUUCAGUGCUGCAGCUAACGCAUUAAGUAAUCCGCCUGGGGAGUACGACCGCAAGGUUGAAACUCAAAAGAA